ensembl:lncRNA
UGAGUAGGGGCGGCAGGUAGCCUAGUGGUUAGAGAGUAGGGGCGGCAGGUAGCCUAGUGGUUAGAGAGUAGGGGCGGCAGGGUAGCCUAGUGGUUAGAGUGUAGGGGCGGCAGGUAGCCUAGUGGUUAGAGUGUAGGGGCGGCAGGUAGCCUAGUGGUUAGAGUGUAGGGGCGGCAGGUAGCCUAGUGGUUAGAGAGUAGGGGCGGCAGGUAGCCUAGUGGUUAGAGAGUAGGGGCGGCAGGUAGCCUAGUGGUUAGAGUGUAGGGGCGGCAGGUAGCCUGGUGGUUAGAGAGUAGGGGCGGCAGGUAGCCUAGUGGUUAGAGCGUUGGG